GUAAUAUUUAUUAAGUUUUCCAUAACUGAACACGUGGCCACUUUCUUUCCCUAGGAAUUGCAUCCCUAGCAUUGCAUCCUUCCCCCAGCCCCUCCCCAAAGCUUGCUGCACCCCAAGGCGUUUUGCACUCACCUGAACCCUUGCUGGGAAAGGAGCAGGGGACAAUGGGAAGGGGCGUGGUGACCAGGUUGUUUAAACCACACCCCUUUUCCUACGGAAGCAGCAAGGGGGGGUCAGUAUCCAGCACCCCCUUCCUUGCUUCUCUUGAAUUCUUUUACUUUAUGGGGACAAGCACAAUUACUGGAAAGAGAUUGUUGGUAAGACAUGGCUCAAAGUAAAGCAAUGGGCUGCACUGAAGCCAGUUAGGCUGCUUUACACUGACAUAAUGCACACUUUAAAGUGAGUUCCAACAACAGUUUCCCUAUUCUCAUGAAGAAAAGAUGCCCAAAGAGUUCAAAUGAUGCUUCUCCAUAACACGGUUGCACAUUGGUGGUUACAUUUUGGCAGCAAUAAUAUGGAGCUUUACAAAACAUAAGAAAAGAUCCCUGCCUGAUCAGACUAGAGACCGAUCUGGUUCAGCAUUCUGUUUCAACAACGGCCACCUAGAUGCCUAUGGGAAGCCCACAAGUUGGGCAUGAGCACAAUAGUGCUCAUUUCAAUGCAGCCACUACAUAUGACUCCUCCACAGUAUGUUAAAAUUGUUACUAAAAUCACCCCCUUACUGUACCUAAAGCAAAUUUGCGGAGGUGCACUUGUAAGUUCUGUGGGAGCGAUUCCAUUAUCAAAGGAAUAUAUGUUCCUGAGUAUGUUUGCCUGACUGAAAGGUGUCCUGGAUUUAGGCCUCUUACUUGUCUGGAUAGAGGACAGAGAAGGAUGAGUAAGCAUGUGCAGAAAUUAGCCUCCAAUACCAAUGCGGUACACAUUAAGAUCUAUGUUAGUAGUUCCACCACCUUUUGCCUCGGCCCCACCCACUACUGUACAGGCAUUUAUUUUGUCUUUUUAUCUCUUAUUUAUAUGCUAUGAACCACCCUGAGAACUAUAGAUGAAUACAGGUACACAAAUUUGUUUGUUUGUUUGUUUGUUUGUUUGGUGGCUGUUUGAAGAUUGCCUGAAAGGGAAUGUGGCCCUGGUUAAAAACCAAAAUAAUAUCAGGAGCUACAGUUAAAACAGAGGCAAAUGUGGUCAUUUGCUUGAGUGAAAUAAUCAAGAAACUUCAAACAAUACCCCCUCCCUCUGAAAUAUUUCCAUCUGUGCACUCUCUCUCUCUCUCUCUCUCUCUCUCUCUCAUAUGCACGCACAAAGAAAGAGAGAGCGAGAGAAAUAGAUGGAAGGAAGGAAGGAAGGAAGGAAGGAAGGAAGGAAGGAAGGAAGGAAGGAUGGGCCUACUCAGAAAGGUACCAUCAAGCAUAUGGAAGCUCUAAGUAACAUUCAGUUAAUGGAGAAAUAACUUCUCCCAGGAAGCAAAGACUUCUUCGCUGCUCUUAUCCAAAACUAGCCAAGCCUCCCAGCAGCUGUUCUUGUGCAUUUGCAGUUUGCACAUCUGAUUCACACUCCCAGAAGGCAAGAUGCACUAUUGAUUAAAGAUUAAAACAUGAUCUGGGGUUCUACUGGGCAAACUCGAAGAAACCCAGAUGGAACUUUUUUUUUCCCUGGGAGAUAUGGGAAUUUCAAGAGCAGAUGUGACAAGAAACAGAUUCUGCAAAGGCCUCCAGGUAAUUCUAGCCUGUGUGUCAUCGUCCCCCGCCCCCACAUUUUUCACUGAGAUCAACCCAUUAUGUGCAACCCUUUCAGAAACUCUACUUUUCUUCGACACACAUGCACACAAAUAUUGAGACAUUCCUAGACUUUCAAAAGGUAUCUCUACUAUUAUGUCUAAUAUCUGGCUUCCUCUAAUAGCAGACUAUACCUUCAAAUCACUCUUCAGGGACUUGCUUUCACUUAAGACUUGACAUUCUCUUAUUGCUUAUUUCAGAAGCGGCUCAAUUUAGACCUAGUAAGAAAAGCAGAACAGUUACUCACCAUUGUGUUUUAGUCAAGUUCACAAUAAGGGAAAGUGGCUUUCAGGAAAGCCACGAUGCUGCCCAAAAGCAUACAUUUAGCUUUGAGUUAAGUUUCUCUCUCUCUCUCUCUCUCUCUCUCUCUCUCUCUCUCUCUCUGGCAUCAUUGAGCAAAAGAGAUGAAAUUAUGAAAGAAUUGUGUGCUAAGAGGCCCAAUAAUAACCAUUCCAUUAUGGCUUUAUCUUCCUAAUCAGCACCUUAAAAAAAAGCUUUUUAUGGUUGUUGCAGUGGGGAGCAGAGAAAAGAGAAGAUGCCCCCGAGAGAUGUUCAGGAAAACUAAGACCUUCCGUGUACCUCGCUAUCAUGCUCUGCUUUGAGCUCUAUUGCAAUUAUCUCUGUAAAUCAGCUGGUGGCAGCUUUUGCCCAGCUCCUUCAAAGUAGCACUCUUUUUGCCUUCACUCUUAUGUACCUUCAUUUCCCCCUUCUGUGACAUCGUCACAUAGCCAGACCUCAUUUUGCGACCUCCUUUGGAAUUCUCUUUUUACUUCAAUUCAGUUUUUACUUCAAACCAUCAUUCUUCUUGCCCCUGCUCUCAAUUCACUUUGCUUUUUACAAUGUGACAUCAUCACAUGGCCAAAAGUUAUUUUAUGCGACAAUGUCGUUUCUACAAAGAGGACUGAAGUUAAAAUUUUAAAAUACGGUAUGGAAGCAUUUAGCUGAGAAAGCUGUAAACAUUAGUGAACAGUCAGGAAAGUGUACACUUUUUAUUAUCUUUGAAGAAACACUUUGCCCUCACCCAAGUCCAUAAAAACUCUUUUCCCCACCCUACACUGAAAAUGUUCCCCAGAAAAUACUUUACUCAGUCCAAACUUGUUCCUUUGCAGUUGCUCAAACUCUGUGCUGAAAUAAUGUAAGAAAAUGGUUUGACUUCACAAUAAUGUACUUAGGAGCAUCCCAACAUACUACACAGUGAGAUCACCCAUGUGGAGGCAGACCUAUGGAAAUGGCCAUUUCUGUUAUUUAUUUAUUGAAUCAUGACAACACUUCACCCUACAGAAAGCCCACCAUUUAUUGAAGUUUUUUUCUCAAGAGUUGUGCUAAAAUCACUGCAAAUGACAAGGACAUAAGUUACAUUUCAGAGGUGGAAUCCAAUGAAGCACUAAGUUAAAGUCACAGAGUGGUAAACUGAUCCUGCUAGUGAAAUGUUUUGCACAAGUAGAACGUCAUUGUUGCACGCACGCACACACACACAAAUGCAUAAGCAGGUUGCUGAUUACUUUGUUGCACAAUAGAUUGUGCAAUCCGUUGCUCAACAAGUUUCUGCUUGUGCGACCAUUGUAUUUGAUUCCUCUGUUGUGCAACAUUUAAACAUCAAAAUUUACCCAUCACUAGCACAAGAUCCCUUGCACUAGUAGACAAUGUUGCAUACAGCCCACUUUGUAGAAAGGAGAGAAUAAGUGAUGUCAUUAUACACAAUAAUUACUCCAAAGCGCCACACCACUGGCUAGAGCAAGAUGAAUUAUUCAGUAUAAUUUUUUCCCAUUCUAGAUAAUGUGCAAAUUUGCUUCAAUAAUAUUCCUGGCAUGUGUCAGGCUGUUAUCACUGUUGUUGUGGAAAAAUAAACACUGCCUAUAAAUACUUAAGUAGACAGUCCUUUUUACCCACCUUCAUCUUUGAGUGAAAGGAAAAUGACAGGAACCAUCUUAUAUCCCAAUCACAUGGGUAGUGGAGCAUCAUUACCAGCACAUGGACUUCUUCACUACCACUGGAAUACUGUCAUUAAGCAGAGGAAGAAGGAUGGACAACAAAAAGAAAUAUUGCAAUAUGAAGGUGCUGGUGACAAGUUACCAUAAAUAUUUCACUAUAGAUUCAUAUAGCCUUUUCAAGAUAAUCGGCUUUGAAGGCUCCUACUGGAUCCAAAAAGAGAAUAUUUAAGUGUAGGCCUUGUUAAAAGACUUUUAAGAGGAAUGAAUAGUGUGCAUGUGGAUGGGGGAGACUGGGGCAUAUGCUCACACUGCUGGGUUUAGCUGGAGAAGAAGUGUCAGGCUGGCUGAUUGAAAAAGCAAAUGAAGUUUGGUUCUAAAUAUAAGGGUGGGGGAAGCACACAUUCCAUGUUCUUUUGAUACUGCAUCACAACAUUUUGAAAUUACAUUCUUUGAAGUCAUUCAAGAGACUCAUCAGAUUACUUGCACUCUCUGAUCAAAACUGAUAUUUUUGUGUCGUGUGUUCCAGGACCAGCAAGGGGAAUUUAAUACAUUGGAGUGUUCUCAUGUGUUAAAGUAUAUUUUGGACUUCUACCACCUUACCUGCUCAUCAGUGGCUACUAGUGAUGAUGGCUAUAUUACCUUCAGUAUCAGAGGCAGCGUCACUCUGAAUACCAGUUGUAAAGGAUCACAAGAGAGCUAUUGUGCUCAUGUCCUAUAUGUGGACAGAGGUAUACCUAGUGUCCCUUGCACCCUUCACAGGGAGCUGUAUUGGUUGGGCUUCCACCCAGGAAAAAAAAAUUACUUACUGCAAUAGCCACAUUACAAACUACUAUAUUUUAUGCAACCCAAGUACUUGAAACAUCUGGAGUAAGGGCAAGGCAAGAAAGAAGGGCAUUUUUAUUUAUUUUUUGUACCAUGGUGCGAGACGGGAAGCUUCUCUCACAGUGACAGCAGCAGAGCAUACUCUCCAUUGUCUGAGAUGUGGGGUUAUUUUUGUUUGUGCGCGUGCACACACACACACACACUGGGCCUGUGCCACCAGUGGGGUCCAGUUUCACCAACCCCUAGUUACACAUCUGAAUGUGAGAUUCCCAUGAUCGGCUUGAAAGAAUGCUGGGCUUUGCAGACUUUGGUCUGAGGUACCAGGGAUCUUCUUAUGUUCCUUUGCCUUUGCACUGAUGAUAUCCCCAUUGCUCUAUAUACCAUGGGUAGAAAAACAUGUGCUUCAUCAGAUGAUGUGGGGCUCCACCUCUCAUCAGCUCCAGCCAGUGCUAUCAAAGGCCAUGGAUGAUAGGAGCUGUAGUCCAGCAGCCACAUGGGUCUCCCAUUUCUGCUCUACUGUACGUCAUUACUGCGCUCACUGGUGUCAAACGCAGAUAUAUAUUUUCAAUUAUAGUUGCUACAUUUACUUCAAUUAUAGUUGUUACAUUUACAUUUUCCUUAACUGAUCAUCAUGUUGGACUUCAGGUUUUCCUUUGGCUGCUUAAACGAAUGUAUGUUGGGAGGUGACUGAACAAGGUCCCAUCCUUGUGUACUUUGGACAAGGUCUAGAAAGUAUGAAGUGCCUAUGCAUCUUCUACUGAUCUGAGGCUCAAACCUAUGCAUAGUGGACAUACUGUGAGUUUUAUCAGAAUUCAAGAUAACCACCAAUUCAAGUGGCAUGCAUAGCAAGAUCUGUGUGCUUCACAUUCACUGAAAUAAUAGUGUACACUGGAAAGGCAGGUAUAAUUAUGUUUUUAAAGGUUACCGAACAGCUUUGUGUGAAGUCAUUCAUAGGUCAGCCAUGUCAUGGAACCCAUUAUUAGCUGUCAUUAUUGCGUAAAGUAGGCUGAAGGAAGGUUUCUCAGGUAAUUGCUAAUGAGGGCAUGUGUAAUUUGUUCCACAUUGUUUGAUGAAUGAUGUACUGUAGUUUCCUGCUUAGUCUUCAGCCGUGGGAGGUUGUUAAAAAAAAGGGACUCCUUUGAAAACCCUGCAACAAUGGAUUUUUGAGUUCUGUACAUGAAAAGCGUACAUAUUCAACUCAAAUCAAGCUAAUUUUCAAAAGAGAGUGCAUUCCAGAGGAUUGCCAUGCUUAACCUCUAUCUGAGGGCCCUAACUUUCCCCUGGGUAAAUGGCCAUACAGCCUAAAUGUUGUUGUGCUUUAUAGUGACAGACACACUAAAUACAAUCUCAAAUUAACAAGAAGCUUGGUAAAACAAAGUACUGGAAUCACGUCAUGUCAUGGAUGUUCUCAAACAUGCCUCCUUUUCUAAGGCAAGUUCAACCUUAGUUGCCUAUGUAUGCUUUUCAUGCAAGCAGAUCGAUAGUCCAUUGUGGCAGGUUUCCAACAAAUGCAUUUUAAAACUCCAGGUGAUCUUGAUGGUAAAUGUAUCAUUGUGUUUCUUUGUUUUUGUUUUGCCCAGAAAUAUUUUGACAACUUACCCCAACGAAACACAUUUGUUUGGAAUUGGGGUGCAGGAAUACUGGCAGCCCAGGAAACUAGCAAGGAUGCAUACCAGAGGGCAUGAAUCCAUGGCACCAGGGCCUGAAGGGAGUCUACCAAGCAGCUGCCUUAUUCCAAAUUCGGCCAUUGGUUCAUCAAGCUCAGUCUAUACUGUGUCUGACUGGCAGAGGCUCUCCAGGAUUUCAGAGAGAGGACAAUCCUAGCUCUACCUGGAGAUGCCAGGGUUUGAAUCUUCUGCACGCAAAGCUGAUGCUCUAUUAAUAUCUUACUAUCCUUCCUCAAUGUUGUUGGACUCCUCAGGUAGCAUGGCCAUCCGUCAGAAAUGAUG